rnacentral:rRNA from 1 species
GACAGAGGUGCCGAGCGUUAGGCGGAAUCACUGGGCUUAAAGCGUGUGUAGGCGGGUCCGUAAGUACCUUGUGAAAUCCCACGGCUCAACCGUGGAACUGCUCGGUAUACUGCGGGUCUUGAGCUGUCUAGGGGCGACCGGAACAAGCGGUGGAGCGGUGAAAUGCGUAGAUAUGCGGAGGAACACCGAUGGCGAAGGCAAUCCCCUGGGCCUGCACUGACGCUCAUGCACGAAAGCGUGGGGAGCAAACAGG